UAGCCUACGGGAGGCAGCAGUGGGGGAUAUUGCACAAUGGGGGGAACCCUGAUGCAGCGACGCCGCGUGGGUGAAGAAGCGCCUCGGCGCGUAAAGCCCUGUCAGCAGGGAAGAAAAUGACGGUACCUGAAGAAGAAGCCCCGGCUAACUACGUGCCAGCAGCCGCGGUAAUACGUAGGGGGCAAGCGUUAUCCGGAUUUACUGGGUGUAAAGGGAGCGUAGGCGGCAAGGUAAGCCAGAAGUGAAAGCCCGCGGCUCAACUGCGGGACUGCUUUUGGAACUAUCUAGCUAGAUUGCAGGAGAGG
rnacentral:rRNA from 1 species